GGAGGCGUGGCAGAGUGGUCGAUUGCGGCGGUCUUGAAAACCGUUGUACCUUUGCGGGUACCGUGGGUUCGAAUCCUACCGCCUCCGCCA
rnacentral:tRNA from 1 species